UCCCCGGUGGUCCAGUGGUUAGGACUCUGUAAUUCUACUGCAGGGGGCCCGGGUUCAAUCCCUGGUAGGGGAA